rnacentral:rRNA from 1 species
AACGUAGGUGGCAAGCGUUUAUCCGGAAUUACUGGGCGUAAAGGGUGUGCAGGCGGGGAAGCAAGUGGUGUAUGAAAUCUCCCAGCUUAACUGGGAUAGGUUAUGCCAGACUGCUUUUCUAGAGGACGAGAGAGGGGGGUGGAAUUCCGGGUGUAGUGGUGAAAUGCGUAGAGAUCCGGAGGAACCCCAGAGGCGAAGGCGGCCCCCUGGCUCGUACCUGACGCUCAGCCACGAAAGCAUGGGGAGCGAACGGG